AACGAACGCUGGCGGCAGGCCUAACACAUGCAAGUCGGGCGAGGACUUCGGUUCUAGCGGCGGACGGGUGAGUAACGCGUGGGAAUGUGCCCUUCUCUACGGAAUAGCCCUGGGAAACUGGGAGUAAUACCGUAUACGCCCUUUUGGGGAAAGAUUUAUCGGAGAAGGAUCAGCCCGCGUUGGAUUAGGUAGUUGGUGGGGUAAUGGCCUACCAAGCCGACGAUCCAUAGCUGGUUUGAGAGGAUGAUCAGCCACACUGGGACUGAGACACGGCCCAGACUCCUACGGGAGGCAGCAGUGGGGAAUCUUAGACAAUGGGGGCAACCCUGAUCUAGCCAUGCCGCGUGAGUGAUGAAGGCCUUAGGGUUGUAAAGCUCUUUCAGCUGGGAAGAUAAUGACGGUACCAGCAGAAGAAGCCCCGGCUAACUCCGUG
rnacentral:rRNA from 1 species